rnacentral:rRNA from 1 species
AUUGAACGCUGGCGGCAGGCUUAACACAUGCAAGUCGAGCGGGGUGAUGGUGCUUGCACUAUCACCUAGCGGCGGACGGGUGAGUAAUGCUUAGGAAUCUGCCUAUUAGUGGGGGACAACAUUUCGAAAGGAAUGCUAAUACCGCAUACGUCCUACGGGAGAAAGCAGGGGAUCUUCGGACCUUGCUCUAAUAGAUGAGCCUAAGUCGGAUUGGCUGGUUGGUGGGGUAAAGGCCUACCAAGGCGACGAUCUGUAGCGGGUCUGAGAGGAUGAUCCGCCACACUGGGACUGAGACACGGCCCAGACUCCUACGGGAGGCAGCAGUGGGGAAUAUUGGACAAUGGGCGCAAGCCUGAUCCAGCCAUGCCGCGUGUGUGAAGAAGGCCUUAUGGUUGUAAAGCACCUUAAGCGAGGAGGAGGCUACUUUAGUUAAUACCUAGAGAUAGUGGACGUUACUCGCAGAAUAAGCACCGGCUAACUCUGUGCCAGCCGCCGCCGUAAUAC